UUCUCUUUCUUUUUUCUUUUCUUUUCUAGCAUUUCGUCUCUUCACUUUUCUUUUUUCUUUUUUUCUCUAGCAGUUCGUCUACUCCAGAUCAUUCAAGAAACUCUCUCUCUCUCAAAUGGGUCAGAUGGGUCCCUUUUUUCUCCUCCCACCACUUUUGUAACCGUUGAGAUAGAGAAGCACGAGAGAGUGAAGAUUGAAGAAUGAAAGAGAAAAGGGAUGAGAGAGAAAGAAUUAUUUUUUUUUUCAACCGGGUAUUAUUUUAAGCAUGAAUAUUGUUUAGAUAUGUUACAGUAUUUGCUACAGUACCCUCCAUGUUAAGAGAGCUACUGUAGCAAAUCUAAAAAAAAAAA